rnacentral:tRNA from 2 species
AUUUUCUUAGUUUAAUAGGUUAGAACUGCAUUCUUCUAAAAUGCUAAUUUUGGUUCGAAUCCAAAAGAAAAUA